CGAUGAUCGCGACCUGGGCUAUUGUGUAAUAUAUUGUGUUUUUUUUUAGUUUGCUUUGCAUCGGAUUCAAGUGCGGUUCUUGAAUAUUCGAUACAGCAGGACUUGCCACCGUCUAAAGCAUUGCCUAGAUGUCGCAGGGAUCUGGUUGGCAGAAAUUCAUUUCCUGGACGUAGUUGCUGCUGGAUUUAUCUGUGAGGCGCAGCAUUCUUCGACAGGAACGAACUGGAUUGUAGAAAGCCUUUUGAGAACAGCUGUGAACAUUGGGAAAUUCCAUUUUUAAUUUUCCCUGCGCGAUAAUAACUAUGUGAGGAGGGACGAUAGGCCAGACGUUGUGCACCGUCAAUCCGGCCAAGAGGAAACGAGCGAUCAUCCAGCAGUGGAACGCAAAACCGAUCAACAUCAGCUGAGCAAACGGUUGACCUGCGAGAAAGCCGUGCCCCGCGACAAGCUGUGCACCGAAAAGGCCCAAUGAUGCAUCCUACUUCCAAUCCAAUUUUGAUCGCAGCAAGGCCUCCCGCAGGUAGGCAGAAUAGUCAUCAUCGUCAUCGUCGAAAGAUAGAGUGUCCAAGGACACCAAAGCUGUAGCACAGCUAUAAGGUGAUUUUGGUUAAUAUUUCUAUUAUCUUAAUUCGAUGAAGCAAGCAUAUAUCACGCUAUUUAGCCGAACGCGUCGGCAGAACGCAAUUCUCACGCCUUCACGGGCGUCUAUCGA